CGGAAUUACUGGGCGUAAAGCGCGCGUAGGCGGUUAAGUAAGUUAAUUGUGAAAGCCCGAAGCUCAACUUCGGAAUUGCAAUUAAAACUACUUAGCUAGAGUUUAUCAGAGGAAAGCGGAAUACAUAGUGUAGAGGUGAAAUUCGUAGAUAUUAUGUAGAACACCAGUUGCGAAGGCGGCUUUCUGGGAUAACACUGACGCUGAGGUGCGAAAGUAUGGGUAGCGAAGAGGAUUAGAUACCCUCGUAGUCCAUACCGUAAACGAUGAUUGUUAGAUGUUGGAAAUUUAUUUUCAGUAUCACAGCUAACGCGUUAAACAAUCCGCCUGGGGAGUACGACCGCAAGGUUAAAACUCAAAUGAAUUGACGGGGACCCGCACAAGCGGUGGAGCAUGUGGUUUAAUUCGAAGCUACGCGCAGAACCUUACCAACACUUGACAUGUCUGUCGCGGAUUCCAGAGAUGGAUUCCUUCGGUUCGGCCGGACAGAACACAGGUGCUGCAUGGCUGUCGUCAGCUCGUGUCGUGAGAUGUUGGGUUAAGUCCCGCAACGAGCGCAACCCCUACUUCUAGUUGCCAUCAGGUAAAGCUGGGCACUCUAGUAGGACUGCCUGUGAUAAGCAGGAGGAAGGUUGGGAUGACGUCAAGUCCUCAUGGCCCUUACGUGUUGGGCUACACACGUGCUACAAUGGCAGUGACAAUGAGAUGCUAAACGGCGACGUUAAGCUAAACUCAAAAACCUGCCUCAGUUCGGAUUGCACUCUGCAACUCGAGUGCAUGAAGCUGGAAUCGCUAGUAAUCGCUCAUCAGCGCG
rnacentral:rRNA from 1 species